rnacentral:rRNA from 1 species
CAGUCAUGCUAAUAGGGAAUCAACCUGAUGGUUCGUGAGUUUUGUCUCGCGGUCUUUCUUGUGCACUUCCUUAUUUGGCAAGUUAGCAUCAAUUUUGGUUAUCAUCCAAAAAUUAGGGGAAUGUGACUUCUCUCGGGAAGUGUUAUAGACCUUGAUAAUAUGUGGUGACCGGGAUUGAGGAUUGCAGUGAAUGCUUUUUGGCUAGUCACCUGGCUUCUGGCUGCUACCCCGCUUUCGAGAGCUUGCUAACGAUCGUGGGACUCAACAGUCUAGAUGUUAGAGUGAUCUUAAA